GGUGGUGCGUUGUUGAGAU
rnacentral:siRNA from 1 species